GGGCAUGUGGUGUAGUUGGUUAUCACGCUCGCUUAGCAAGAUUAUGUAUGCGAGAGGGGUCCGGUUCAAUCCCGGACAUGUCCA